UACGAAGGGGGCUGGCGUUGUUCGGAAUUACUGGGCGUAAAGCGCACGUAGGCGGGUUGUUAAGUCAGGGGUGAAAUCCUGGAGCUCAACUCCAGAACUGCCUUUGAUACUGGCAACCUAGAGACUGGAAAAGGUUAGUGGAAUUCCCAGUGUAGAGGUGAAAUUCGUAGAUAUUGGGAAGAACACCAGUGGCGAAGGCGGCUAACUGGUCCAGCACUGACGCUGAGGUGCGAAAGCGUGGGGAGCAAACAGG
rnacentral:rRNA from 1 species